rnacentral:ncRNA from 1 species
UUCCUUCGGGGUCGGGUGUAAUUCCCAACCGGCGGUGAUGAAACGUCGUAACGUUUCUUAGUCCGUGACCCGUGCGGCCAUUUUGCCAAGCGGUGGAUCUGGUGUAACUCCAGAGCCGACAGUUAAAGUCUGGAUGGGAGAAGGA